GGGGGUAUAGCUCAGUGGUAGAGUGCAUGCCUAGCAUGCAGGAGGUCCUGGGUUCAAUCCCCAGUACCUCCA
rnacentral:tRNA from 1 species